rnacentral:rRNA from 1 species
UACAGAGGUCCCAAGCGUUGUUCGGAUUUACUGGGCGUAAAGGGUGCGUAGGUGGUGGGGUAAGUCGGAUGUGAAAUCUCCGAGCUCAACUCGGAAAGUGCAUUGGAAACUACCCUGCUCGAGGGUUGGAGGGGGGACUGGAAUACUUGGUGUAGCAGUGAAAUGCGUAGAUAUCAAGUGGAACACCAGUGGCGAAGGCGAGUCCCUGGACAACUCCUGACACUGAGGCACGAAAGCUAGGGGAGCAAACAGGAUUAGAUACC